UACGUAGGGUGCAAGCGUUAAUCGGAAUUACUGGGCGUAAAGCGUGCGCAGGCGGUGAUGUAAGACAGAUGUGAAAUCCCAGGGCUCAACCUUGGAACUGCAUUUGUGACUGCAUCGCUGGAGUGCGGCAGAGGGGGAUGGAAUUCCGCGUGUAGCAGUGAAAUGCGUAGAUAUGCGGAGGAACACCGAUGGCGAAGGCAAUCCCCUGGGCCUGCACUGACGCUCAUGCACGAAAGCGUGGGGAGC
rnacentral:rRNA from 1 species